AGCGACGCAGACUUGGACCAGUAGCUGCCGAGGGAAGAUAUCCGCCCUCCCGAAGGCGUUGGUGAGCUGGCCAAUGAGAAAGCGCCCCCGCGAUGGGUGGGGUCGAGACAUGUGGUACCAAACCGGCGGCUCGCGGAGAGGGGGUGUGCCGCCUGAGGCAAUAAGGCCCUAGUGUGACGACCAGGAAAGCAAGAACGGAAUGCCAACACUAUGCCAGGCAAAAAGGUUGAAAGGCCUCUGGUGCCAUUGCUGUUCUUUGAAAAACUCACCGUGCGACGUUCUUCGUGACUGAACAGACAUCUCGGGAUCCCUCGAGAGAGUCGAUUCAUCAUUCGACAGGUGUUUCCACGUGUGUGGAGGACCUUUUGCAUACCAGGCAUGCGAUUUUGACCCAAGCAGACUUGAUAGCUACCUUCAUAAAGCUCCCAGUCUAAUGAGGCGGAAGAGGGAGAAAACAAAGAGGGCCCCAACAGGAGAAUCUUGCAGGGGAGAGGGAAACAUUUUUUUCUUUUCCUGAAUUAGAAUCAGCAGCUUUCCAGGUCCUCCCUGUCCGUCUCCACCUGCCUUCUGACCUGGGAGGCUGACCUGAGCGGCCUGAAUCAGCUCUUGGCUGAUGGGGCUCCAGGAAGGGGCAAGGAAUGUGAGUAAUGUGGACGAUUUCCUGGCCUCUUUGGAGGUUUAAGAUCUUUCGCCAGUGUUCAGUACUUCUGUGCAAAUUGUUCUACAUGGAGGUGAGUUGUUUAUGUGUUUGUGGGAGAAGGUGAGCACCGCAUCCUGGAGCUCUUCCCUGCCA